CCACAAGGGGUGAAGCUUGCGGUUUAAUUGGAGUCAACGCCGGAAAUCUCACCGGGAGCGACAGCAGAAUGAAGGCCAGAUUAAAGGUCUUGCCAGACAAGCUGAGAGGAGGUGCAUGGCCGUCGCCAGUUCGUGCCGUGAGGUGUCCUGUUGAGUCAGGCAACGAUCGAGACCCGCAUCCUCUGUUGCAACUAGCUUUGAGCUGGGCACACUGAGGAGACCGCCACUGAUAAAGUGGAGGAAGGAGCGGGCCACGGCAGGUCAGUAUGCCCCGAAUCUCCCGGGCCACACGCGAGCUGCAAUGGCAGGUACAAUGAGUUCCGACCUCGAAAGGGGAAGGCAAUCCCGAAAGCCUGCCGUAGUUGGGAUCGAGGGCUGUAACCCGUCCUCGUGAACAUGGAAUCCCUAGUAAUCGCGUGUCAUUAGCGCGCGGUGAAUACGUCCCUGCUCCUUGC
rnacentral:rRNA from 1 species